rnacentral:rRNA from 1 species
AGAGUUUGAUCCUGGCUCAGAAUGAACGUUGGCGGCGUGGAUUAGGCAUGCAAGUCGAGCGAGAAGUUUUCCUUCGGGGAGAUGGACAGCGGCAAACGGGGUAGUAAAGCGUAGGUGACGUACCCUGAGGACCGGGAUAGCCGCGGGAAACUGCGGGUAAUACCGGAUAAUCUCUGCGGUCAUGGUGACUGCAGAGCAAAUGGUGAGAUUCCACCUUUGGAGCGGCUUACGUGGUACUAGGUAGUUGGUGAGGUAACGGCUCACCAAGCCAAAGAUGCCUAGGGGGUGUGAGAGCAUGGCCCCCACCACUGGGACUGAGACACUGCCCAGACACCUACGGGUGGCUGCAGUCGAGAAUCUUCGGCAAUGGGCGCAAGCCUGACCGAGCGACGCCGCGUGCGGGAUGAAGGCCCUUGGGUUGUAAACCGCUGUCAGAGGGGAUGAAAUGCGCGCAGGCUAUCCUGCACGUUUGACAAAGCCUCAGAGGAAGCACCGGCUAACUCCGUGCCAGCAGCCGCGGUAAGACGGAGGGUGCGAACGUUGUUCGGAAUCACUGGGCAUAAAGCGCGCGUAGGCGGUCCACUCAGUCAGGUGUGAAAUCCCCCGGCUCAACCGAGGAACUGCAUCUGAUACUGGUGGACUCGAGGACGGUAGGGGUGAGCGGAACUCCAGGUGGAGCGGUGAAAUGCGUAGAUAUCUGGAGGAACACCGGUGGCGAAAGCGGCUCACUGGGCCGUCUCUGACGCUGAGGCGCGAAAGCUAGGGUAGCAAACGGGAUUAGAUACCCCGGUAGUCCUAGCCGUAAACGAUGGGCACUAGGUAGCGGGGAUGCCUUUGGUCUUCUCUGCCGGAGCUAAUGUGUUAAGUGCCCCGCCUGGGGAGUACGCUCGCAAGGGUAAAACUCAAAGGAAUUGACGGGGGCUCACACAAGCGGUGGAGCAUGUGGUUCAAUUCGAAGCAACGCGAAGAACCUUACCUGGCCUUGACAUGCACGGAUUAGCUUUCUGAAAGGGAAGUGACAGCUCUUCGGAGUCGGAACGUGUGCAGGUGUUGCAUGGCUGUCGUCAGCUCGUGUCGUGAGAUGUUGGGUUAAGUCCCGUAACGAGCGAAACCCUUAUCGUUAGUUGCCAGCGCGUAAUGGCGGGGACUCUAGCGAGACUGCCGUUGUCAAGACGGAGGAAGGUGGGGACGACGUCAAGUCAUCAUGGCCCUUAUGGCCAGGGCGACACACGUGCUACAAUGGUCCGUACAGAGGGUUCCUAAGCCGCAAGGUGGAGGCAAUCCCUAAAGCGGGCCCCAGUUCGGAUUGCAGGCUGAAAUUCGCCUGCAUGAAGCCGGAAUCGCUAGUAAUCGCGUAUCAGCCAUGACGCGGUGAAUAUGUUCCUGAGCCUUGUACACACCGCCCGUCAAGCCACGAAAGCGGGGAGUGCUCGAAGUCGUUCUGUCUAACCUUCGGGAGGACAACGCCGAAAGCAAGCUCCGUGAUUGGGACUAAGUCGUAACAAGGUAACC